AGGACGAACGCUGGCGGCGCGCUUAAUACAUGCAAGUCGAGCGAGAACCAGGGCUUCGGCCCUGGGGACAGCGGCGAACGGGUGAGUAACACGUGGGUAAUCAACCCCCGACACCGGGAUAGCCCAGGGAAACUUGGAUUAAUACCGGAUGCUCCAUCUGGCUUUCGAGCCGGCUGGAAAAGGGUAGCUUCGGCCUCCGGUCGGGGACGAGCCCGCGGCGGAUUAGCUUGUUGGUGAGGUAAAGGCUCGCCAAGGCGACGAUCCGUAGCUGGUCUGAGAGGAUGAUCAGCCACACUGGGACUGAGACACGGCCCAGACUCCUACGGGAGGCAGCAGUGGGGAAUAUUGGACAAUGGGCGCAAGCCUGAUCCAGCAAUGCCGCGUGAGUGAUGAAGGCCUUCGGGUUGUAAAGCUCUUUCGCACGCGAGGAUGAUGACGCUAGCGUGAGAGAGCCCGGCUACUCGUGCCAGCAGCCGC
rnacentral:rRNA from 1 species